rnacentral:lncRNA from 10 species
CUUCUUUCUCCAGCUAAUGUGGGUCAGUUCUUAGAAUUUCCAGCACAGACGUCCAUCUCAAUUGGUCCAGACCUCCCUGCCUGAACUUGAGUCUCAGGAGCUGUCCACCCUUACUCUAUCAAAUAUAAUCAAUUCAAGGGUCCUCUGCUGUUGCAAAAUUUAAACAGCCUGACUCUUUAGGGCUGUACUGUCCCAUGUGGUAGCCACUAGCCACAUGUGGCUAUUUAAACUUAAAUUUAAAUUAAUUGAAUUUAAAUAAAAUUA